AAAAAUUCUAAGGCCAACGGGAGAAGGGUAGUUAAGGAACUCGGCAAGUUGACCCCGUAACUUAGGGAUAAGGGGUGCUCUCGAAAGAGAGCCGCAGAGAAUAGGCCCAGGCGACUGUUUAGCAAAAACACAGCUCUAUGCUAAAUCGAAAGAUGAUGUAUAUGGGGUGACACCUGCCCGGUGCCGGAAGGUUAAGAGGAGGAGUGAGAGCUCUGAAUUGAAGCCCCGGUAAACGGCGGCCGUAACAAUAACGGUCCUAAGGUAGCGAAAUUCCUUGUCAGGUAAGUUCUGACCCGCACGAAUGGUGUAACGAUCUGGGCACUGUCUCAACUACCCGCCCGGCGAAAUUGUAGUACCGGUGAAGAUGCCGGUUACCCGCGACUAGACGGAAAGACCCCAUGGAGCUUUACUGUAGCUUAAUGUUGAAUUUCGGUAUUUCAUGUACAGGAUAGGUGGGAGACUAAGAAGCAGGGGCGUCAGCUUCUGUGGAGUCAACCUUGGGAUACCACUCUUGAAGUGCUGGAAUUCUAACCUGCGGCCGUGAAUCCGGUCGGGGGACAUCGUUAGGUGGGCAGUUUGACUGGGGCGGUCGCCUCCCAAAGAGUAACGGAGGCGCUCAAAGGUUCGCUCAGCAUGGACGGAAACCAUGCUCUUGAGUGUAAACGCAAAAGCGAGCCUAACUGCGAGACUGACGGGUCGAGCAGUAACGAAAGUUGGAGUUAGUGAUCCGGCGGUAUGUGAGUGGAAAUGCCGUCGCUCAACGGAUAAAAGCUACCCUGGGGAUAACAGGCUGAUCUCCCCCAAGAGUCCACAUCGACGGGGAGGUUUGGCACCUCGAUGUCGGCUCAUCGCAUCCUGGGGCUGUAUUCGGUCCCAAGGGUUUGGCUGUUCGCCAAUUAAAGCGGUACGCGAGCUGGGUUCAGAACGUCGUGAGACAGUUCGGUCCCUAUCUGUCGUGGGCGUAGGAUAUUUGAAAGGAGCUGUCCCUAGUACGAGAGGACCGGGAUGGACGCACCUCUGGUGCACCAGUUGUCACGCCAGUGGCACAGCUGGGCAGCUAAGUGCGGAUCGGAUAAACGCUGAAGGCAUCUAAGCGUGAAGCCGUCCUUAAGAUAAGAUAUCCCAUCAGGUCAACUGAGUAAGACCCCUCAAAGACUAUGAGGUUGAUAGGCCUAAGGUGUACGCAUGGUGACAUGUUCAGCCUGCAGGUACUAAUCGGUCGAGGGCUUGACAG
rnacentral:rRNA from 1 species